AGGGUAUCCAACAAAGGCUUCUACUCCUUUAGUAUUAUGCUUUUAUUAUUUAAUUAUGCUCAUUUAAGGAGCUCUUUUGUGUUGAAAAUUCUGUUCUCUAUUCAUUUAUUGUUGUACUUUGAGUUGAGUUUUGAAAAGUUUCAAAACUCAGAUAGGUUGAUCCGAAUAUGUAAUCAGAGGGUUUAUGAGUUGGCUUGUACCUGAGAAAU
rnacentral:lncRNA from 1 species